GGAGAGUUCGCAUAGUGGUCUAGUGCGCACGCUUGGAAAGCGUGUGUGGGGCAACCCACCAGGAGUUCGAAUCUCCUACUCUCCGCCA
rnacentral:tRNA from 1 species